AGGAAAAGAAACCAACAGGGAUUGCCUCAGUAGCGGCGAGUGAAGCGGCAAAAGCUCAAAUUUGAAAUCUGGCGUCUUUGGCGUCCGAGUUGUAAUUUGAAGAAGGUAUCUUUGGGCCCGGCUCUUGUCUAUGUUCCUUGGAACAGGACGUCACAGAGGGUGAGAAUCCCGUGCGAUGAGAUGACCCGGGUCUGUGUAAAGUUCCUUCGACGAGUCGAGUUGUUUGGGAAUGCAGCUCUAAGUGGGUGGUAAAUUCCAUCUAAAGCUAAAUAUUGGCGAGAGACCGAUAGCGAACAAGUACAGUGAUGGAAAGAUGAAAAGAACUUUGAAAAGAGAGUGAAAAAGUACGUGAAAUUGUUGAAAGGGAAGGGCUUGAGAUCAGACUUGGUAUUUUGCAUGCUGCUCUCUCGGGGGCGGCCGCUGCGGUUUACCGGGCCAGCAUCGGUUUGGAGCGGCAGGAUAAUGGCGGAGGAAUGUGGCACGGCUUCUGCUGUGUGUUAUAGCCUCUGACGAUACUGCCAGCCUAGACCGAGGACUGCGGUUUUUACCUAGGAUGUUGGCA
rnacentral:rRNA from 1 species